CGCUAGACCCUCAAGCUGCGGCAGAGAACAGCUGUAGUCCGAUGUGCACGGGGGGACUGAUGUGUGUGAACGGAACCACAUGCCAAUAUGUUAUGGUGCAUACUCCCAACCUGACCACCAUCUUCAUGCAGUAUGUCGUCCAUAAUUUGGAAGCAGAGGUGGAGUACUACGACCAGGUGGCAGACGAGUGGUUUGAAACGCAUAACUUCACGGUCGGCCUCAACCACGUUCCAAUCCGCAUUCUGAUGCAGGUCGGACACCAGGGCACGUAUUUCCGAUCGCGGGUCAAUAUGUACCUCCCGGAGCGCUACACAAUUUCA